GAUGAACGCUGGCGAUGUGGAUAAGGCAUGCAAGUCGAGCGCCCCCUUGAGGGGAGCGGCAAACGGGGUAGUAACGGGUAGGAACAUACCCUUGUCUUGGGAAUAGCCCAUGGAAACGUGGAUUAAUACCCAAUAGUCUCUACGGAGUAAAGCUACGGCGGACAAGGAUUGGCCUGCCUCGUAUCAGCUAGUUGGUAAGGUAAUGGCUUACCAAGGCAAUGACGCGUAGGGGAGGUGAGAGCCUGGCCCCCACCAAUGGCACUGAGACACUGGCCAUACACCUACGGGUGGCUGCAGUCGAGAAUCUUCCGCAAUGCACGAAAGUGUGACGGAGCGACGUCGCGUGAUGGAUGAAGGCCUUCGGGUUGUAAACAUCUUUUAUAGAGGAGGAAGUUUAUUGACGUUACUCUAUGAAUAAGGGGCUCCUAAUCACG
rnacentral:rRNA from 1 species